GCUCCGGGGGCGCCCAGCUGGGCCCAGCUCCGCGGACGCGCCCCCGUCACCCCCUCCCAGGCCAGUUCAGGGCAGCGCCAAGGGGGCGCGGGCUCAGGCUGAGGCCUCCUCCUGCCUAGGCGUCUGGCGUCCGUUUGUCUGUCCGAGGCCUCAGCGCAGGUAAAGCGUGGGGCUGGGGGGCGCAGAGCUCCAUUGGGCUGGGAACCAGCGCGUCUCGUGCCCUUGGGGGACCCGCCUGCCCGAGCCGCCUGCUGAGCCUCCCGCUCCCCUCCACGCUGGAGCGCGCGGAGCCCAGUCUGCUCGGAACUCCACUCUACGGGAGCGGAGGCCGGCGCCAGCCCGGGAAGGCGAGCAGGGGGCGGGAGGCCGAGCGCGAGGCCCUUGGCGCCGGGCCUCCGCGGCCAGGCCGGGCAGCUUACGAUUCUUCAUCAACUCGUAAAAUGAGAUCGCCGCGGAGCUCGAGCCUAUUUGGCGUCUCCGGAGACUAGCAAGACCCUCUGAAAGACACCGCGUCCCCAGGGAUAAUCGCCCGUGUCCGGCAAAGCUGCCCCGCUCGAGCGCGAACCCUGGGACCCAGCGCGGGAGGCAGACCAGCAGCUGGCGGCUGGGCUGUGAACGCCAGGACCGAGCGGAAGCUUCCAGCCCGGCCGCGAUCGGUGCCGCGGCUCUCAGGGAAAUGGCUACGCGCGGCCCUCGGGAAAGCAGGUAAUUCACCUUUUUCU
rnacentral:antisense_RNA from 1 species